CGAAUGCUGACAUAAGUAACGAUAAAGCGGGUGAAAAGCCCGCUCGCCGGAAGACCAAGGGUUCCUGUCCAACGUUAAUCGGGGCAGGGUGAGUCGACCCCUAAGGCGAGGCCGAAAGGCGUAGUCGAUGGGAAACAGGUUAAUAUUCCUGUACUUGGUGUUACUGCGAAGGGGGGACGGAGAAGGCUAUGUUGGCCGGGCGACGGUUGUCCCGGUUUAAGCGUGUAGGCUGGUUUUCCAGGCAAAUCCGGAAAAUCAAGGCUGAGGCGUGAUGACGAGGCACUACGGUGCUGAAGCAACAAAUGCCCUGCUUCCAGGAAAAGCCUCUAAGCAUCAGGUAACAUCAAAUCGUACCCCAAACCGACACAGGUGGUCAGGUAGAG
rnacentral:rRNA from 1 species